GACGAACCGUACGAACGUUAUUCGGAAUCACUGGGCUUAAAGGGCUCGUAGGUGGCCAACUAAGUCAGACGUGAAAUCCCUCGGCUUAACCGGGGAACUGCGUCUGAUACUGGAUGGCUUGAGGUUGGGAGAGGGAUGCGGAAUUCCAGGUGUAGCGGUGAAAUGCGUAGAUAUCUGGAGGAACACCGGUGGCGAAGGCGGCAUCCUGGACCAAUUCUGGCGCUGAGGAGCGAAAGCCAGGGGAGCAAACGGG
rnacentral:rRNA from 1 species